rnacentral:rRNA from 1 species
CCUACGGGUGGCAGCAGUGGGGAAUAUUGCACAAUGGGGGAAACCCUGAUGCAGCGACGCCGCGUGAAGGAAGCAGUAUUUCGGUAUGUAAACUUCUAUCAGCAGGGAAGAAAAUGACGGUACCUGACUAAGAAGCCCCGGCUAACUACGUGCCAGCAGCCGCGGUCAUACGUAGGGGGCAAGCGGUAUCCGGAUUUACUGGGUGUAAAGGGAGCGUAGGCGGCGAUGCGAGUCAGAAGUGAAAGCCCGGGGCUCAACUCCGGGACUGCUUGUGAAACUGGAUGGCUAGAGUGCAGGAGAGGCAAGUGGAAUUCCUAGUGUAGCGGUGAAAUGCGUAGAUAUUAGGAGGAACACCAGUGGCGAAGGCGGCUUGCUGGACUGUAAAUGACGCUGAGGCUCGAAAGCGUGGGGAGCAAACAGGAUUAGAUACCCUUGUAGUC